rnacentral:rRNA from 1 species
UACGAAGGGGGCUAGCGUUGUUCGGAAUUACUGGGCGUAAAGGGCGCGUAGGCGGUGUGUCAAGUCAGGCGUGAAAGCCCCGGGCUCAACCUGGGAACAGCGCUUGAGACUGGCACGCUCGAGUUCGGGAGAGGAUGGUGGAAUUCCCAGUGUAGAGGUGAAAUUCGUAGAUAUUGGGAAGAACACCGAUGGCGAAGGCAGCCUCCUGGGCCAACACUGACACUCAGGCACGAAAGCGUGGGGAGCAAACAGG